rnacentral:rRNA from 1 species
AUUGAACGCUGGCGGCAUGCCUUGCACAUGCAAGUCGAACGGCAGCACGGACUUCGGUCUGGUGGCGAGUGGCGAACGGGUGAGUAAUGUAUCGGAACGUACCUUUCAGUGGGGGAUAACGUAGCGAAAGUUACGCUAAUACCGCAUAUUCUGUGAGCAGGAAAGCAGGGGAUCGCAAGACCUUGCGCUGAUUGAGCGGCCGAUAUCAGAUUAGCUAGUUGGUGGGGUAAAGGCCUACCAAGGCUACGAUCUGUAGCGGGUCUGAGAGGAUGAUCCGCCACACUGGAACUGAGACACGGUCCAGACUCCUACGGGAGGCAGCAGUGGGGAAUUUUGGACAAUGGGGGGCAACCCUGAUCCAGCCAUGCCGCGUGAGUG